rnacentral:rRNA from 1 species
GUAAAUGAGGGGGCGGGGGGCGCGGUAAAGGGGAGGGGGCAGGGUUGGUUCGGAAUUACGGGGGGUAAAGGGUCCUUAGUCGGUGGGACAAGUCGGUAGUGAAAUCUCUGGGCUUAACUCAGAGGCUGCUGCCGAAACUGUUGUGCUUGAGUGUGAGAGAUGCGAGUGGAAUUACGGGUGUAGCGGUGAAAUGCGUAGAUAUCCGUAGGAACAUCCGAGGCGAAAGCGGCUCGCUGGAUCACAACUGACGCUGAGGGACGAAAGCUAGGGGAGCAAACAGGAUUAGAUACCCUAGUAGUC